rnacentral:rRNA from 1 species
AGAGUUUGAUCCUGGCUCAGAACGAACGCUGGCGGCGUGGAUAAGACAUGCAAGUCGAACGGGAUAUCACUUGUAGCAAUACCGGUGAUGUCUAGUGGCGCAAGGGUGCGUAACACGUGGGUAAUCUGCCGGGAAGUGGGGGAUAGCUCGCCGAAAGGCGAAUUAGUACCGCAUAUGGUUAGCGAAGGGAUCUUCGCGACACCAAAGCCGGGGCAACCUGGCGCUUCCUGAUGAGCCCGCGGCCUAUCAGCUAGUUGGUGAGGUAACGGCUCACCAAGGCGAUGACGGGUAGCUGGUCUGAGAGGACGACCAGCCACACUGGAACUGAGACACGGUCCAGACACCUACGGGUGGCAGCAGUCGAGAAUUUUUCUCAAUGGGCGCAAGCCUGAAGGAGCGACGCCGCGUGGGGGAUGACGGUCUUCGGAUUGUAAACUCCUGUCAUUAGGGAACAAAGUCCCCGGUUAAUUGCCGGCGGGCCUGAUAGUACCUGAAGAGGAAGAGACGGCUAACUCUGUGCCAGCAGCCGCGGUAAUAC